GAGUGAGGGAAGACGGCGUUCGGGUUGUAAACCUCUUUUAGCAGGGAAGAAGAGAAAGUGACGGUACCUGCAGAAAAAGCGCUGGCUAUCUACGUGCCAGCAGCCGCGGUAAUACGUAGGGCGCAAGCGUUAUCCGGAAUUAUUGGGCGUAAAGAGCUCGUAGGCGGUUUGUCGCGUCUGCUGUGAAAUCCGGAGGCUCAACCUCCGGCCUGCAGUGGGUACGGGCAGACUAGAGUGCGGUAGGGGAGAUUGGAAUUCCUGGUGUAGCGGUGGAAUGCGCAGAUAUCAGGAGGAACACCGAUGGCGAAGGCAGAUCUCUGGGCCGUAACUGACGCUGAGGAGCGAAAGGGUGGGGAGCAAACAGGCUUAGAUACCCUGGUAGUCCACCCCGUAAACGUUGGGAACUAGUUGUGGGGUCCAUUCCACGGAUUCCGUGACGCAGCUAACGCAUUAAGUUCCCCGCCUGGGGAGUACGGCCGCAAGGCUAAAACUCAAAGGAAUUGACGGGGACCCGCACAAGCGGCGGAGCAUGCGGAUUAAUUCGAUGCAACGCGAAGAACCUUACCAAGGCUUGACAUAUACGAGAACGGGCCAGAAAUGGUCAACUCUUUGGACACUCGUAAACAGGUGGUGCAUGGUUGUCGUCAGCUCGUGUCGUGAGAUGUUGGGUUAAGUCCCGCAACGAGCGCAACCCUCGUUCUAUGUUGCCAGCACGUAAUGGUGGGAACUCAUGGGAUACUGCCGGGGUCAACUCGGAGGAAGGUGGGGAUGACGUCAAAUCAUCAUGCCCCUUAUGUCUUGGGCUUCACGCAUGCUACAAUGGCCGGUACAAAGGGCUGCAAUACCGUGAGGUGGAGCGAAUCCCAAAAAGCCGGUCCCAGUUCGGAUUGAGGUCUGCAACUCGACCUCAUGAAGUCGGAGUCGCUAGUAAUCGCAGAUCAGCAACGCUGCGGUGAAUACGUUCCCGGGUCUUGUACACACCGCCCGUCA
rnacentral:rRNA from 1 species